AUGAACGCUGGCGGCGUGCCUAAUACAUGCAAGUCGAGCGAACAGACGAGGAGCUUGCUCCUCUGACGUUAGCGGCGGACGGGUGAGUAACCCGUGGAUAACCUACCUAUAAGACUGGGAUAACUUCGGGAAACCGGAGCUAAUACCGGAUAAUAUAUUGAACCGCAUGGUUCAAUAGUGAAAGACGGUUUUGCUUUCACUUAUAGAUGGAUCCGCGCCGCAUUAGCUAGUUGGUAAGGUAACGGCUUACCAAGGCAACGAUGCGUAGCCGACCUGAGAGGGUGAUCGGCCACACUGGAACUGAGACACGGUCCAGACUCCUACGGGAGGCAGCAGUAGGGAAUCUUCCGCAAUGGGCGAAAGCUUGACGGAGCAACGCCGCGUGAGUGAUGAAGGUCUUCGGAUCGUAAAACUCUGUUAUUAGGGAAGAACAAAUGUGUAAGUAACUAUGCACGUCUUGACGGUACCUAAUCAGAAAGCCACGGCUAACUACGUG
rnacentral:rRNA from 1 species